UUGUUCGGAAUUACUGGGCGUAAAGGGCUCGUAGGCGGCCAACUAAGUCAGACGUGAAAUCCCUCAGCUUAACUGGGGAACUGCGUCUGAUACUGGAUGGCUUGGAUUCGGGAGAGGAAUGCGGAAUUCCAGGUGUAGCGGUGAAAUGCGUAGAUAUCUGGAGGAACACCGGUGGCGAAGGCGGCAUUCUGGACCGACAUUGACGCUGAGGAGCGAAAGCCAGGGGAGCAAACGGG
rnacentral:rRNA from 1 species